GAAGUUGUGCCUGAAUUAAAGGACCACUUUGAUAGAGUGGAUUAUGGGGGUUAAAAUCCGCCCAGCUUCU
rnacentral:tRNA from 4 species